AAGGGACCUUAAGGCUCGCGCUGAAUGAUGAGUGAUGAGUGAAACUCUGCCGCCAAUUGCUCUAAAGUGAAACGUGAUGUCUUCUUUGCCAGAAUUUGUCAAAAGACAAAUUCAGAGAUUCACAAACAAAUACCCCUCUAAGCUAAAACAAAAAUAUGCGUGCGUAAAAUGUGUGUUCUAUCAAGAAUUAAUUACAAAACAAGAGCAUGUAGGGAAAAAAAAUUAAAUUGGCUGACAGGGGUGCACAGGGGCAGGACCUCAGGGACACUGGCCCCAGCUGAAAGCUGAUUGCCCCCCAGUGUACCCCUCCUUGAUUCCAAACAUAUCAUCUAUCCAUCCAUCCAUUUUCCAAACCGCUUAGCCUACUGGGUUGCGGGGCGUCUGGAGCCUAUCCCGAAAGCAAUGGGCACGAGGCGGGGAACAACCCAGAAUGGGGGGCCAGCCCAUCGCAGGGCACACUCACACACCAUUCAAUCACACAUGCACACCUACGGGCAAUUUUACCAAGUCCAAUUAGCCUCAGCAUAUCUUUCGACUGUGGGGGGAAACCGCUGGCCCCGCUCAAUGAGUUAUGCUCCCUCCCAUGCGUCCAUCAAUUGCCCUUGUAACGUGUUAUCCAGUACAGCACUAUGGUGAACUUCUAGCCUAUCCCAGGAAAUCCAGUGUCUGAGGAGGGACACACCCUAUGCGGCUCACCAGUCUUUGAGGAAGGACACACCCUAGGUGGCUCACCGGUGUCUGAGGUGGGGCAUGCCCUAUGCGGCUCACCAGUGUCUGAGGAGGGACACACCCUAGGUGGCUCACCGGUGUCUGAGGAUGUGCACACCCUAGGUGGGUCACUGGUGUCUGAGGUGGGGCAUGCCUUAUGUGGCUCACCAGUGUCUGAGGAGGGACACACCCUAGGUGGCUCACCAGUGUCUGAGGAGGGACACACCCUAGGUGGCUCACCGGUGUCUGAGGAUGUGCACACCCUAGGUGGGUCACUGGUGUCUGAGGUGGGGCAUGCCUUAUGUGGCUCACCAGUGUCUGAGGAGGGACACACCCUAGGUGGCUCACCAGUGUCUGAGGAUGUGCACACCCUAGGUGGGUCACUGGUGUCUGAGGUGGGGCAUGCCUUAUGUGGCUCACCAGUGUCUGAGGAGGGACACACCCUAGGUGGCUCACCGGUGUCUGAGGAUGUGCACACCCUAGGUGGGUCACUUGUGUCUGAGGUGGGGCAUGCCUUAUGUGGCUCACCAGUGUCUGAGGAGGGACACACCCUAGGUGGCUCACCGGUGUCUGAGGAUGUGCACACCCUAGGUGGGUCACUGGUGUCUGAGGUGGGGCAUGCCUUAUGUGGCUCACCAGUGUCUGAGGAGGGACACACCCUAGGUGGCUCACCAGUGUCUGAGGAUGUGCACACCCUAGGUGGGUCACUGGUGUCUAGGGUGGGACACACCAUAGGUGCCUCAGCAGUGGUUCACAGGGUACAUGCUCAAACACUGUGGGGAAUUUAGGGAUUCAUGUUCACCUAACCAGACAUUUUUGGAGUAAAUUCAAAAAGCAAGCAAGCUUCCCAACCCACGGCUGGAUCACCAAGGGGGUUGGGAAUCAAACCCACUACUCAAUCAGCAACCUGACAUUAAAUAAAUCAUAUAAACUCAAUCAAAGUUUGUUACAGCCGAGAACCACAGUGCAAAGGCCAAUACUUUUUUCUCUUUUUUGGCAAAAACAAGGAAAUCAGACAUCCUCUCUACUCCCCGUUUUACUUGGAAUGAUUCAGCCCUACCGUAGGCCUCAUGACACUGGUUAGCCAGUAUUGGGUAGCCAGCCUACAUUUGAAGAAAUCAGUCUGAAUUGCAACUUGUGCACGCAAUGCCAAAGGAAAAUUAAGGCUACAAAAAAUGAAAGAAAAACAUUGGUAAUAUUCGCUUGCUACUCCAACGUAUAAUUACAUAAUAAAAUGCACUUGGUGACUCAUCUUUAUCUCCUCAUAAAGAGUUUAAAGUUUGCUGCUUCAUUCGAAAUUUAACUUGAACUUAACUUGAGGAAAGCUAACAAUUCUUGCUCACCGUCUAAAUCAAGAUUUUGCUCUGGUGUGUCAUGCACAAAAUUAAUGGGACACAGCAUAUGUUUCAACAGUAUUCAACAUUUUCAGAGCUCACUGUAUAUUACUUAUGACAUUAAAUAUACAGGCUAGGAGGGUAAAGGUAAGAAAAUAUUCAGUGCUGUUAAAGCUUUGAAUGGACCAUAUGGAUUUCGGGGUGGGGGUGUGUGGUUAUGGCAGGUACGUGGGGUUGGAUUGGUCUGGAUUGGGUGCCCAAUAUAUACUUCCAUAGGGCCCAAAAUUAGAGACACACACGGAAAUGAGUUUGGAUGCCAGAGCAUAUGAUUAGCUAGUGUCCAGCACUCCUGGGGUUAAGUGCUCAAUGGAAAUAUACUGACACUGACACAGCAUAGCCACCAUCACUCAAUUUCUCAAACCCCAGUCAACCCAGAUGGGACUCGAACCCAUAACCUUAUCCAUUAGGCCACUGGGUCACAUUUAAGCUUUUAAUUUAAGCAAUAUUUGCCAGUGUUUUACUGUAGUGCAGCAAUUCAGGACUUUAAAGGUCAUAUUCUGCAGCCUUUAUUUUGA